rnacentral:rRNA from 1 species
UGGGGAAUUUUGCACAAUGGGGGAAACCCUGAUGCAGCGACGCCGCGUGAUUUAGAAGGCCUUCGGGUUGUAAAAAUCUUUUGUAUGGGAAGAAAAUGACAGUACCAUACGAAUAAGGACCGGCUAAUUACGUGCCAGCAGCCGCGGUAAUACGUAAGGUCCGAGCGUUGUCCGGAAUCAUUGGGCGUAAAGGGUACGUAGGCGGAUAAGCAAGUUAGAAGUGAAAUCCUAUAGCUCAACUAUAGUAAGCUUUUAAAACUGCUCAUCUUGAGGUAUGGAAGGGAAAGUGGAAUUCCUAGUGUGGCGGUGAAAUGCGCAGAUAUUAGGAGGAAUACCGGUGGCGAAGGCGACUUUCUGGCCAUAUACUGACGCUGAGGUACGAAAGCGUGGGUAGCAAACAGG